GACUGCUGAGAAAAACAAAAGAGGGUUGCUACCAAGUAGCAAAAACAUUUUCUGAGUGUUUUGGCUUAUAACACUACUCAGCAAAGUAGAAGAAAUUAAUAGCACUGUCAAAUUUAUAAUAUGGCAAGAAUCAUGCUUCUGUCAUUUAAUUCUCAGUUGUGUCACAUUGGCCUGAUCAUUCUCAUAUGAACUGGAUGUGAUUUACCUCACCGUGGGAAUCAUCCAGAGAAGCAGAAUGACCAGAAGUAAUGGAACCAGGAGUUGAAUCCAGCUCGAUGGUUCUGUGGUUGAUCCCGGUGCUGGCUGAUCUUUGUGAUUGUUCGCUUACUCUUCCCAGGGAAGAAAGUGAGAUCCCAGAUGCCAACAACAAAGAGAGAAGUGAAAACAGAGUGACAUAAUGGCACUGGCACUUUUAUUUGGAUUUGGCCCCAGUCCACUAUAAAGGU